AGAAUCAACGCUGGCGGCGUGCCCUAACACAUGCAAGUCGAACGAGAAAGUGGAGCAAUCCAUGAGUAAAGUGGCGCACGGGUGAGUAACACGUGACUAACCUACCCUUGAGUGGGGGAUAACCUAGAGAAAUCUGGGCUAAUACCGCAUAAUACCUUCGGGUCAAAGGAGCAAUUCGCUUAAGGAGGGGGUCGCGGCCGAUUAGUUAGUUGGCGGGGUAAUGGCCCACCAAGACUAUGAUCGGUA
rnacentral:rRNA from 1 species